rnacentral:lncRNA from 1 species
UUUUGAAAAUUAAAUAUUACCUCAUUCUCUUCCUUUGUUGAAUUUUUCACACAUUUUUAAUAUGAACCGAAUGUUUUUAGUAGGUGAUAAAUUGGGAUGAGGAUGAGGUCUUUGCUGAGAAAGUUAGUGUUCAGUUUGGAGCGUAUGUCAUCUCGAAACCUGCUUAUACUCUUCUGUGUUUAUCGAGUCUUUCUGGAUGCGUACGCUAACCUCCUUAUGCGUCGCCAUUCCAUCAUGGAUGCUAGUGAUUCCGCUUCAAAGCAGUGGGUCCGUGGUGCAGACAAGGAGAAGGUCUUCUUAGUAUGAUUAAUUCUUUCCUCUUAUAUUAUUAGUCAACUCUACUACAAAUACUAAGCAGUCUUCCAGCACAUUAUAACCUCUGAAUAUUUAAAGUGUUUUCAACAAAGCCACAAGCUACUGCCUGGAAUGUAAACUAAAAGCCUCCUACACACUCCGUUUUCUGUUGUCGUCUUAUUAGUGAUUAAUUCCUCGCACACCUCAUUGUUUGCCAUCUCUCUCCCGCCAGUGUUUGCUUUUGGUCCUGUUUGUUAUGCAAGUAUUAUUAGCGUAAGUAAAUGAGCGCGAGUCAGUGUGAGUUUGUGCAUCUAUUCCUCUGAGUUUGUUGAUGCUCUCAGUGGGCACAUCAACAAAGUCUUAGUUAGGGGAGGGGGGUAAAUUUGCUCUUCCGUCAGUGGAAAGGAGUCGUCGCUGUCCAGGCUUUCGCCGGACCUCGAUGGGACAUGACAUGAAUUGAAGAAAGAGAAACAACUCAAUAUCCUCUUUUUCUAACAGGCUAAAUAUCUUUGCAUCAAACACUCCAAAAUAUCUCCAGCAUUAGCCGUUCCAACUCAUACCUCGGCUGAGAGAAGUCUUUACUCUUGAUUUUUUAAACAGAAAAUUAAUUUUGGCAGUUCGAGGAAUGUUAAAAAUUUCUCGUCGACCACCUGCCAGAAUCAUUUUCUGAAUAAACAGAGGUGUAAAAGAGGCCAUGUAGUGGCAGAAUCACGCUUCAUUUCAUAUUUGUUACACCUGUUUUAACAGAUGUUGAUGAGGUUUGGCAGUUACCUGAGGCAGAAAGUCAAAUCAACAUCAAAACAGUUCUCAUUGUUUCCUGAUUGGGCCUGCAUUCAUCUUGUCAAGAUCAAUUUCGGGGUUUUUUGUUGAAUGGUUUUCACACAGGAGCAAAAAUGGAGACUGUUGUUUUUUUUUAAGCCAACAAGUACAAUGCUUGAUUGUUGUCCUGGAAUAAAACCGUUUAUUUAAUAUCCACCUUUAUCACCAAUGCGUAUAUUUUUUCGGAAAAGGUAAUGUAAUGUAAUUUUAGAACAACUAGGCUAAAAAGAGGAAUCUCACAAGAUCAAGACCUAAUUUUCUAACAUAAAAGCUCCAGUGAGGAGUUUUUAUACAGCUGUGAAAGAGAUUUAAAUUGAUACUAAUACCACUCAAUGAUAUUAAAUUGCAAAAUACACAAUAAUCUACAAGACGGACGGUUUCUACGACACCCAAAAACAAUUUGUGGAGUGAUUAAUGGCACAGUUUUAGUCAAAAUUAACUCGACAAAGACAGUGGAUAGGAAUUUCUUUUGACUGUUUAAAGAGUCAGGGUGAUUUUUUUUUGUAAAUAAAAGAAAAAAAAACACCACAACAGGAGAAAUCAGUUAAGAGAUACGAGGUUCGCCUUUGUCCAAGAGGGCGUAUCAAAGCUGAUAUCGACUUUAAGUCAGAAGAUUACUCUGAAAAUCAAAGGAGUUUGACAAAUAAUACAGUUUUGAGUAUUUUGAGGCUUUUGUGUUGUUGAUUUGUUCAGAGGACAGACGCCGGAACUAUGGAGAGAAACAGUGUGAAAGUGAAUGGUGGCGAUUUUCACAGUGCGCCAACUCCUACCGGAUCUUUUCAGCAGGAAUCGCAAGAACCCACAAGAACCCGUGGCUUUAUGUGCAAUCGCGCGAUAACAGGUUGUCUUCAGCCACACAGGCUAGCAGUAGAUUGUGUCCUUCCAGAGGAGGAAUUCGGCUACUAGAUUUCUAAAAUCAGCAUCUCUAUAUCCAUGGUGUCCUCGGGAUAAAAUGCUGUCUAAAACCUUAAACUUGAUCGUACCCGCCCGUUUGCAUGGUGUGAAAUACGAUCCUCCUGAAACACAUAGUGUUUUAUUUUGAAAAGAAGCUGGAUGUUUUAUUUUGUGUCUUUGCCCGACUUCCUUUCCAGCACAGGUUAAUCUGUGCUGAACUUAUCCGGCAUGCUUCGGCGUCCAGAAAAAAUAGUACUCUUGCACUUAGCUGCAGAGUCCGGUGAUCCACAGCUGAACGGAAAGAAGCCGGUGGAAAUUGACACAUUAACUUGAAUGGUUACGAUCGGCGGAUACGGCCUUUUCAUAGCCGUUCUGGACGCGGUGGAAAUUGCCCUUAACUGUCACUCUGUCGCAUCCAUACCUGUACCCAGACCCCUUUAUCCUGGACCAGACCAAGUAAAGAACAUUAUCUUGGGGGGUAUAGGAUGGCGAGGCAUGAGACUAUCAGGAAAAAUGUAACCAUGGCAACAAUAAUAUAUAUAUGGGGUAAGUUAGGGUCUCAACCAGCAUCCUCUGUUAUUUGUUUAUGACGAUUUAAACAUCUGUCCAGGGGUCUUCCUCUCCCCACAGUCAUGUCUCGUCUUCUCUAAAGAUAUCAGGCCUUAAUGGGCAAACUUUGCUGCGAACAAGGAAAACACUCGGACUCAUUAAAAGACUUGAUGGAAAAUUCAAACCCGAGAUAACCUUGUUUCAUUUUUUAGCAGCUAUUGUAGUAGGAGGUGAGAACUUGUUAUCCUCGGCUGUAGGUGAGGAGAGUAAUAAGGCGAUACGGAGGUUUUCUGCCAAGAAAAUACACGAGUUUGUUUCAUCCGAUCAAAGAAAUUUACGUGCUUUAGCGAGGAUUAGGGUCUUCACUGUGAUACAGCUGCUUAUCCUCUAUGUGUGUUGGAUGACUUGUAGAAAGCACACUGGUUGAGGACGAAUUAUUGAGCCCAUUCAGCGCUUCAUGGAGAAAUAUAAAAUAAAGUCAUUCACUGAGAACAUAGAUGGAAUUAAGAGAAGCAAUCGUGCAGUCAUGGUCGUAGCAAAGAAAAAAACUCCAAUUUAAUUAAAACUUUUUUGUGAAAUGUUUGAAAGAAGAUUGAUCGAGUUUGAAAUGCUUUAAAAAGGAUUUGGAGUCAUGUUUCAUUUUUGUGGGUUUCUAUCUUACAGUUAAUAUCCAAAAGGCGACAAAAAACCCAAAUGAACGGAUGGGUGCGUCUAUACAAAUCCCUCCAUCUCCUUUUUUUUUUUCCAUGAUGAGGAGGUAUAACUCCGCAAACAUGCCGUUCCCUAAAACAGGAAUCAGAGCAAAGACAAAGUAAUGUGAAGUGAAUCUUCCUUAAGAAGGUCAGCUGGAGAGCGCGGAGCCGCGACCGUGACCAUGUCAGUUUUGUUAACGUUUAGACAGCAUGCGGCAAACUGGAAUUGCAGUUGGUGCAGUUCUGCUUGUCAUGCUUCAUAUUUGAGAGAGAGCGUGAGCGCGUCCCGAAGAAUAUGAAGAUCCGUCAGUAACGAGGUCAUUUCGGUGCAAUGGCAACAACUCCGGACACUUUUCAUUCUCCUUUCUCUUCUUGCAGAUUUCUUUCCUAGUUCAAAGUUUUCCAUUGUUGACCAGGAGGGAUCACAGCCCCGCUGACCUUUCAGCUGUGCCUUAAGAGACAUGUUUCAGCCACGAGUCUCUAAUCACAGUUCAUGCCCUUUCACAUGACAUCAGCUUCGAAUGGAGCCGAAGGUUUAGCCUCUGGGCUGCCGUAUUGCUUCUAUGUGCUGACCUUUACUCUACGUUUACUAUAUGAUCGCGGAACAUAUAAAGUCUUGCCUCCUUCUUUCUAAAACUGACCUCCAUUCAGAUUCUCUCAACAACAACAUUCGUCUCUCAAUUUGCCCCAAUCCAGGAAACAAACACCUUUGACUAUUAUAAGCAUUCGGAUCUUGUCCAGAAAGGCUUGCCAAUACGGCAUCAUGCACCUUCUGUCUCCCUCUGGAGCCGUAUGCAAAGCGCCGACAAAAAUACCUGACCAGCCGCAAGGAAGCUAAGGUGAACGCCUUUUAUCACUCUGACAUAAGUGAAUGAAAUGAGGAGGAAAUGGAGAGAUGGCAAUUGGGACAAAUCGCCUUGAAAAUCGAACAUGACAAGCCUCUGAUUGUAAUCUCCAUGUAGACUUUUUGGGGAUGGAGUGUCCAUGACGAGGGUGAAAUAUGAUUGAAUAUGAAGCUAAUUUUUGGAGGAAGGUGGCAGAGGGAAACAGACCCAAAUAUAUUUGAUGUACCUGGCGGUAUUCGCAUGCACCUGCACACUUCAUGGCUGUUUCUCUGGGAGCAAAACUUGGAAGAUAAUUUUAGAGUUGAGGCUUUCAUGUCUGGUGGCAUCUAGACUUUUUGGACUGGGGUGGGGGAAUGAAGUUUGUGUAUAAAUUAGUCGAUAUUAUCUUUUUCCCUCUUAGGUUCUCGAAAUAAUCAAGAAGUCAACUAUGUGCUUAGGUUGUGUCUUCAUACAAAAAUGUCAUCCUGCCAUUUUUUGUCCAUCAAAUAAUUAUAAACUUUUUGUAGUAAAUAUAGAAACUUCAGUCGGACAUCUGCAACAGCAAUCCAGAGGAACCUACGGGAUGAGGGAGCUCAUAGACGGCCCCUGCAAAAAAGUGUUUUUUGUGACGGGAAGAACAGUUCUUUUCUUCACUUGGUGACACAUGUUGUUCAUUCGCCAAGUCCCGAAGGAAGAAUCACUCCCCUGCCCUGAAAAACCCACCUCUCUGUGUGUCGCCGUCGGCGGAAACAACACAGCAGCACGCCCGCUAGACAAGCGCGAGUCGUCUUUCUUUUAAAACGUGGAAAAGUGGAGAGAUUAAAAAUACAUAAACAUCGCAGCUGUAGCGGGAAUUCUGCUACUUUUAAAGAGAUCAAAUAGCGUUUUGCUAAAUCGGCUGAAAUUAAAUCCUUCUUGCAGGAAAGUUUAUACACGUAUUUAAUGCAAAGGCGCUAUAAUGACCUGUUUUAUCUUAGCCUCAGUGAACGAACCGGUGCUCGGCAGGUCAUGAACGACGCUACACCCCUCCCUCCUGCUUGCAUCAAGUCAUUUGGAAGUUCACCAUAUCGUUCACAGACUGAGUGAUCCAUAUCGUUCAUUCGUUCAUGUCGUUCGCCAAAGAGUCAAAGGCAGCAGUUCCACUCCCGACCUGCGUGCCAGGCUCAGGUCUCGAAUCAGGUCUUGGAGUGAUUACGUUCACAUCGUUCAUUUAGCAGUUCCGUUCUUUUGAACGAAACGUACAUGAACGACACGACACUAGCCAUGUCCCAUCUGUUUACAUGGAGGAGGCGGGCUUUAUGACUGCAGCCAAUCACUAGAGUCGUUUUGCUUUAGUCUGAUUAUAUCUAUCAAAUGUAGUUUGACACGUACUCUGAGUAAAACAGACUGAUGUGUUAUUCCAUGUUUCUUUCUCUCUACUGUAUCAGUUGAAGGCGACGCCUCACUGAGCAGGAACACUGCAGGUUUACAAUCCUUCCCAUAGGUUAGGGCACAGGCCAGCGCACAAGUGAGAAAACAACUGUUUAGUGUCUGUUUUCACGCACUCAGGCGAGAGAUUUCUGUGCGAGCGAAAAAAAUCCCAGUAAUUGUAGAGCAGACUGACCAAAGCCUGGGGCAAGAGCGGAUAAAACUCUGCGUGUGUAAAGGAAAAUUUCUCUUCUCCUAAUUGUUUGCAUACUAAAAUUAUAAUGCAAAUAUCUUCACCGUCAACAAACUUUGCUCAAACUUGGUACACACACACCCCGAUGCAUAGCGAGUUUGCUUGUUACCAAUGCGUUGAGAGCGGUUGUAGAUUAAACACAGGACAAAGUCCGAUCCAUCCUGAAUUUAAUCAAGCUAUAGCCCGGAGCGAGGUAAAAGAUAAUUUCCCCAUAUGCAUUGUAAUCAUUAGCUUAAUGUUUUGUUUUUGAAGAGGCAGAUAUCACAGAAUGAAUUGUUAAUACUCUGCGUACUUCAAACACCACAUUUAUAAAAGCAUAGUUGAGUGAAUUUCUUAAGAGGAUGUUUUAAAAAGAGCCGGAAGAUCUUGUAUAGCUUCUGUGCAGAUGCUUGUAUAGUAGAACUGCGAUAAAUGUUCCGCUGAGAUGUAGAUAAAUGUCUUUUUCAAUAGGGGUGUCUGUAAGUAAGGUGGAAUUAUGCUCUAAAUAUGUCAGUAGCCUUGACAGCUCCUCCUGAUGUCUUCUGGGUAAUCAGUGGUAAGAAUUUGUCUCAAUGCAUAUUCAGAAGCACGCAUACUAAACAGACACAGAUCCUCGCUGCAAAAAUGUGCGAUGACACUCUUUUUCAAAAACCCGAGAUCACCAUAGGUGUAAAUGGAGCAUGAAUUGUGUGUGUCUGUGUGUAAAGGGAAAGCGGAUGUGUGGUGUUUCCAUUUCUUCACACUGCUGCAUGCUUUAAUCUUCUGUUGGUAACAGGCAAACACCAGCGGGCUCCUCGCUAUGUAGAUGGGCUGAAUAAAUUCCGAUCGGCACAUGCAUGCAUAAGCACACGGCUGCGAAAACCAUACUGUGCACAGUCAUGAAGGCUGCAUUAGCUCCAAUAUUUCAUGAACGCACAAGACAGCAAUGGGCCUGGCUGGGCAACGUCGCUAUGCAAUUAUGUGGACUGAGGUCUGCACUGCAGUAUACUUGAUUGAUCCUAUCAAGCCGAAAUGGACCCAGGCACCAGAAUGGGCUGGGGCAGUAGUUUAUCAUGAAGCCGGGGUGUAUGAGGAAACGGAGCUGGUUACUUGUUAAGUCCUCUGAAGUCUUUUUCUCUUCAUACUUUAUAUUUUUUCUUAUUACCGGACUGUUAAAUCUUGAAAUUACCAAUUAAAAAAAUUAAUAAGGCAGUUUAGGCAAAGAUCACUGUCAUCAUUAAAAGGACAAACACCAGACAAACCGAGGCCUCCAUUUAUCAAGCGUGUCAAUCCAUCCGAAACUUCCCCCAAUGACAUUUUGUCUCACAGACGAGAGUCAUAACUCACAAAACUUGUCCAAUCUUAUUUUCGGUCGACCUGUUUUGUCACGGCGCCUCAUAAGAGUCAUUUCUAAGAUAUGAGAACACCAGACGCUGCUAAAGAAAGGCAGAUAGAUCCAGACACAUGUGCAGCCAGACAGUCAGACAAGUUGUUAACAAGCAAGUUGUUUAGUCGGGUUUUUGAGACAAUAUAGUGGAUAUUCAUGCUUUAUAAUAAACAAGUAUAGUCUGACUUUCAUUUUCUAUAAAAACAUUAAGCUAAUGUUGCUAGUAGUACUUUCAGGAUGUAGCUUUGUUUAGCACAUCCUGAGUAGUUUCCACUGAGGAACACUCAAUUGUAGGAAUUAAUACAACGUCAUAAAUCAAAUACACCUCAUUAUUUUGUUAAAAUUGCAAUGAUUUCACAGCGUGUUUUAAGUUUAAGAAACAUCCCGACAGUGCAUUAGCUAAUAUCAGAACAAAGCUAAUGUUAGACACCCUGUCAAGAGAUGAAUGCUCCC